GAAAACAAUUUUCUUUGAUUUCAACUAGUGUUCAUGCUCAAACUGGUUUAAAUUAAAUAAAUUAAAACUGUAGGCAGAUAAAAAAAAACUUAAAAAACCGCACAAAACCACAUUAUUAGAUGUUAUUGGAUUUUUUUGUUGUUGUGAAAACUGCUCGGAUUUCAGAUUUCCCAACUUUUUCAAAAUCAAACCAAACCAAAUAAAAAAAUUUAAAUACUGAUUUUUUUAUUGCUAUGAGAUAUUUCAUUAGUCUAUUAUUUGUUGGUUUUCAAAUAUUUUAAUAUUUUUCAAAUAUUACAUUAAUCUAUCUAUUAUUUCAGAUAUUUUAAUAAUGUUUAUUAAUUUAAUUUAAUCUAUAUUUUGGUUAUUUCACAUGUUUCAAGUAUAACCAGUCAUAUUCCUCAAAAAGAAAGUAUGAUCAAUUAUUGUUACUCUGUUAAUUUUUGGUAUAUUACGUUAUAUUUUGCAUUAAAAUUAUUUCAAUUGUACUAAUAGAUUUUUUUUUAUUUUUUUUUAUUUUUAGAAUUGUCAUUUGGGAUACCAUAAACCGAUCCAAACAAGACUGUUUUUAAUUGGAUUAGAUUUCAAGUAAUUUGAAUCUUCGGAUCAAAUGAUUUCCCCCUCAAAACCAUUUCAAACUACACCGCAAACAAUCCUAAUUUCAACUAUGUCACCAUGUGGGUGACAUAAUUGAAAUUGAUAGUUGUUUUUGUUUCUGUAUUAAUCAUUUUGUAUGGUAGAUCAGUUUUAUUCAUAAUGCUCGCAAACUAAAUUUAUUUUGUAUUUAACGUGGCACAAAGUUAAGGAGACUAUAUAAGUGUGUGUAUAUAAUUUAAUAUUGGGCGGUUUCUCUUGUAUGUUUGAAAGCAAUCUGACUUUCUUUUUUUAUAGAUAGAGAAAAAGUCAUAUGAUUUCAUAACUAUAUAUGAGGUUUUGUUUACUACCUAGUGUUUUGAGUUGUGAUUUUGCUCAUUUUAAUUUCUUUAUCCAAUAAUUUGGUCGCUCUUUUAAAUUAUCAAUGAAAUGUUUUAUAGCGUAGCAAUUGUCAAUCAUUCGGGACGGAUUUGAGUAUGAGGUCGGAAUGAAUGCUUAUAUCCUUGUUAUCCAUCUUACACUUGUGUUUUGAACAUGAAUAAAAUUCAAACUCAUAACCAAAAAAACCGUCAUAUCAAGGUGAGUUUGGACGAAUACACGCGGGUAUGUAUUUUGUUGUCAUGCCUAAUUAAGUCCGAGUUUUAACUUUAAUAUUCACAUGGCUCAUGAGACCAUAGAACAUCUCUUUUGGUACGUAGUAAAUUUUAAAGCUCUUUCUUGCAAAAUUAAUGUUAAGAACAUAAAUUAUUUUUAGAGCAAUCACAAUGAAUAGAUGUUUCGUCUAUUUAAUAUCAAGUUAAAUAGGCAUUUUUUUAAAGGAAAAUAGACAUUUUUAUUGUUAAGCUAAAACUUUCGGUGCUUUUAGGAAAUGAUGUUUGUAGAAUGACUAUCUCUCUUUUCCUUUUUUUUAGAACUGACUCAAUAAAUUGUUUUUAAAUAAAUAAAUAUUGAUGAAAUACAAUAAUUUGUGAAACUCAAUUAAUAAAUUUUGUGUGAGGCGUUGGGUUGGAGGAAGUGAGUGCUUAUUUAGUAAAUAUUAAUAUUAAAAAAUUAUAAAAAAAAAAAACAGGAUGUAUACACACGAGACCGACUUAGACAUUUAAAUAGUUGAAUUAUUGAAUGUUUAAGUCUUUUUUUUUUUUGUUCGAAAUAGAAUGUUUAAGUCUUAACUUUCUUGUUUAACCCUUAAAAAUAAAAUAAAAUGCACCCUUAAAAAUAAAAUAAAAUGCAUCUACGAGGAAAUGAUCUCAUGUGAUGUAAACUAAAUGAUAAGAGAAAUUUAAGGACCCAAAUCUCACCCCAACUGGAGAUGCUGCGUUUUCUGGCCUGCACUGUGGAAUAAUAAAGUAGCUUAUGUAUAAUGUAGUCAUGGUCAUAUGAAGAUGAAAGACAUUCCACCCAUGAGAAUAGAGACAUUGAACAGAGCAGGAACAUCUUAUUAUGGAAUUCCUGAAGAAUUGUUCUAGAUUAGAGUUGCAUUGUUCAGUAGCAAUAGUUGUCCCUGUUUCAACGAAUUAUUUAUGUUCAUGCAUUUGGCUCUACAUUAACAUAUUUCAUAGAUGUUUUUUUGUUAAAUCUAAUUGCGGCAAAGGCAACGGACACAAUCAUGGAUCAUAUAAAGCAACAAUGGAGCAAAUACAUAACUUCCGUUGUAGCAUUUUUUUUAGUUUUUCUUAAUUUUUUUGUGUAUGUACAUAAAAUUUUGUUCUCAUUCAAAACAAGUGAAUUGCAUGAUUGCUAAUAAAUUCGGUGCAAUGUUUUAAGAAUCUGAUUGACCCAGGUAAAUUGUCGGUUGGUUUGAUCUCAAUUGAACCGCAAUCGGAUUGAACCGUUUGAACUUUAGUUGCUUCAACGGUUUUUUUUCUUGCAUUAUUUAUUUAAAUCAUUGCCGAACUAAUUAACCAACGAUUUAUAAGUCUCUUUUAUUCGAUCUCUCAUGCAACAUAAUACAUUAUUUGAAGUAAGUAUAUACGAUUAGGCAGAGUUGGAUUGGACAACAGUUUUUUAACACUAUUUGAAGCGUAUGGGUUUCUUGGACGUAACUUUUCAACUAUAUAGGUCUUUUACUUGAGGAAUUGGUUUCAUGGUAGAUUAAUUUUUCUUUCAUAUUUUAGGGAGUGCCCCAAAGGGGUUGUAGGCCAGCAUUGGUAUACCCUACAACUUAAGGUACCCAAGACAAGACUUCACAGGACUUGCAUCAUCAUCCAAGCUACUUCAUUGGCUUAAUUGAUGAAAUUAAUCAAACAUCAAACAAUAUAUAAAACCUAACGACUGACGUGUUGAGACAAAAAUGGAAGUGGACAACAGUUUUUCAUAAAAAAAGAUAUUUUGUAAUAAUUUUUUGAACUUUGUCUAAUAUGGGUUGUUGAUUAGGCUCUGUCAUGAAGGUUAGCCUCUAUUUGCUCUACUUGUGGCAGUUUCUAUCAACUAAUGUCAAAGCUUAUCACUUCUCAAAAUUCAUUUAACAAACCUAAUAUAAAUAAUGUUCUUGAAAGACAUGUGAACAAACAACUUUUAAGUUUUUGUCCGGUGGAAGUGGGACUUCAAAUAUGUUUUAAUGUGGAGUCUUAACCAUCAUUACGUGAUGAAAAUGUGAAUAAUGCAAUGUAGAGUAUCAUGCAUGGGACCAUUAUUAUGUCUAAUUUACACGCUGCUAUAAGACCACAGGAAUUAUUUGUGCUUUAAAUCAUAUUUGUGGUGUACAUGCGUUUGUUUAGAAUUGAAAAGAUGGUUCGUUAAUUCUUAUAAUUUUUUAAAGAAUUUGACAAUAAUAAUAUAUAUUUUUUUAAUUCAAAUUUAAAAACAUAUAAAAUGAAGAUAGACUUAAUAAAUUUUCUUUACUAUAAACAUGGUCCCUCCAAUAAACUUAAUUUUUAACUUCAUCCCUGUUUUGAAAGGAAUUAUUUUAAAGGGUUAAAUAAAUAAAAUGUUAAUAAUAAUAUGAUAAAUAAUCUUAUAAUAUUUUUAAAAAAACAUUUCAUAGCUUCUUUGACUUAGAAAAAAUAAAUAAAUCUUUCAUUUUUUUUCUUUAUGAAAUCCUCGGUGGAAAUAUACUCUAAGAAGUACAAUUGUAAUGUCAUACACCACAAAUGACAUCUUUGUGAAAGUGUACCAAACUGAUGGGUUGUUUUUGCAAACAAAAAAAAACUUUUAUUCCUAAUUUAAUGAAAAACACGGAUCAAUGCUUUGAUUAACCAAUCAAACAUGACAUAUCAUUUUCAUUCCCGUAAAACUAUUUCUUGCUUGCUACCAAACAGAAAUUUUUUUCUUACAAAAAAACAGAUUAAUUUAAUUUUGAAAUAGAUGCGUUUUUAAAACUACAAUUUAUGAAGCGGGGUAUUUUCAAAAAAGUAAUCAAAAUAUUGUUUUGACAAUUUUGUUACCAAUGCAAUAAACAACGUAAAGCAAACAUCAACGUGAAGAACAGUGGUAUAAAGCGUAAAUUUGAAGUAUAAGUAUGGUUAAAUUUUCAACAACCACACCCUCAACAAUAACACUGUUAAUUUUCUUUCAAUUUCAUUUUCAACUUCAACUUCAACUUCUAUUCAUAUCUUCUUUCUCCAUCAAUCUACCCCCUCUCUCACUCUCUCUUUCUCUUCUUCAAUUCAACUUCUCCGCUAAAUUAAUCACUUAAUAAUCGAUUCUCAAACGCGCUUCCAAAUUCAAUUCACUUCCUCUCUUCAACUGCGCUUAACUUCCCGAAGUGAUUAUUAGAUCUGAAGCAGAUCCAAAUGGAGGAAGCGUUGGAACUCACACGCGCCAAAGACACAAAGGAAAGGAUGGCUGGUGUGGAGCGUCUCUACCAUCUUCUAGAAGCUUCUAGAAAGAGUCUUUCAUCUUCUGAAGUUACUUCGCUUGUUGAUUCUUGCAUCGAUCUCUUGAAGGAUAACAAUUUCCGUGUCUCUCAAGGUGCACUUCAGUCUCUCGCUUCCGCCGCCGUUCUCUCCGGCGAGCAUUUCAAACUUCACUUCAACGCUCUUCUUCCCGCCGUCGUUGAUCGUCUCGGUGAUGCUAAACAACCUGUUCGUGACGCUGCGCGACGACUACUUCUAACGCUGAUGGAGGUUUCACUUUCACUCUUACUUUAUUAACCUAAUUUGAUUUUAAUUUUAAUCGAAUUUGAAGUUUAGAUGGUAGUUACGGUGGAAAAUUGUUAUUCAUAAGUUGAGUGUAAUGAAAGUUUCUAAUGCAGUAAAAUUUGUUAGAGUAUUUGCAUGAAGGUUUUACUCUUCAUUGAUUGUUUUAAUUUAUUGGUUAUCAGUAGUUUUCGGUUGUUUAAUUAGUAUUGUAAGGUCUUUAAUUGCAUGAAUUAAAAAGUUCUAUUCCAGAAUCGUCUUUGCGUCUUUCAACUCUAAUGGAAUAAUUAUUAAUAUUUAACACAAAUAAAUGUCUGCAAGCCAUGAAGCACAAAUAAAUGUCUGCAAGCCAUGAAGCACAAACACACAGACACGAUACCCACAAGUCGACUCUGGUAAUAGAUUUGAAAAAACGACAUAAUUGAAAGUAACCACAUGUGUAGGCAUGCAUCAGAUUGACACGUGGCAGAUACGCCUUCUAUCAGAAGUGUAGGUGCUUCUGAAAUCUGCAAGUAGCUUUUGGAGAAGAAAAUGCAUGCGGGAUUUCAAUUUUUAUAGUCUUAAUUUUAUAUCUAUUACCUACUGAAACCUAUGGCUAUGCACUCUUUUAUGUUAACAAAAAACUAGUUUUAACACCUGUGCAAAGCACGGGGAGGUUUGUGCAUAUGAAUUAAACUAAUAUAUAAUUGACAUUAAAUACUUUUCGCAUAUAAGGUAGUACAGUAGUUACAAUAAUCUGGUUCAACUAUAGAGCCAACUAACCAAAAUGAUUGAAUAAUAAUUUUAACAGCAAAUGUAUAGGUGAGUUUGUAUCCCGCAUACCAUACUAUAAGACCUUGUACCGUCCUACAAACUAUGAAAACAACAAACCUUCAGUUGAAUAUAUAGUAAAAAAAUACAGGAUCAGGAAUAUGAUACUCCCAGGAAAGCAAAAACCCAGCCAAAGUAAACAUUGUAGUGCCCUAUAAUGAACAAAUGUGAGAUGAUUAAGUUUGGUAUCUUUGUCUUGUUAAAUAUAUGUAGCUAUAGAGUGACUGUUUCUGGGCAAAUCAUCAUUUCUAGAAUGGCCUAUGGUUAUCAAGUUAAGCUGGAAGGUAGAUUUUCUAUGUCUUAUAGACCAGCUUGAUUUAUAUUGUAUAAUGUAGAUAUUGUCAUAAGCUUGUAAUUUAUCACCAAAUGAAUGGAGUUUGACAUGGCCAAUCGGUCAAAGUAGGAUUUAUUUAUCUGUACGACCUUAUGGUAGGUUGGGUGUUUCUUUUAUGCUGCCAUUCUGUGUCUCUCGCGAACAGUAAAAUGCAUAAUGUUUCAUGUGUAUUCUGGAGUUUAUGUUCUGUUUUGCUCGCAUUUUGAAAUAUUAUGGUUGUUUGCAGGUUUCUUCUCCUACAAUAAUUGUUGAAAGAGCAGGAUCCUCUGCUUGGGCACACAAAAGCUGGAGAGUCAGAGAGGAGUUCACGCGAACUGUAACAUCUGCAAUUAAUCUAUUUUCAGCUACCGAACUUCCACUUCAACGGGCUAUCCUUCCUCCUGUAUUGACUUUACAAAUUACAAAUAAGCGGCACCCUUCUUCGUACAGUUAAAUUGUUUUAGGAUCUGAUACUAACUCAUUUCAACACACGAUCUAUUGUCAGGUUUUGCAGUUGCUGAGUGACCCAAAUCUUGCUGUUAGGGAAGCAGCUAUUUUAUGCAUUGAGGUAUGGCUUAUUUUGUUGUUAUUGUAUAUUUUAACUUAAGGAUUAGGUGAAAAUGACAUUAUUGAGUUCAUGUUGGCUAUUGAAAAAGGGUUAUGCCAUAAGAUAAACCCAUGAUGCAUGUAUAAAAUUACGUCAACAUUAAAUUAAUAGAAAUGUUGGCUAUUAAUUAUCUUAGUCUUGGCUGAAAACAAAAAAGAAUUGCUAAUAUUGCAUUUUUCUUUUAGGUUUAAAAAUAACAAAUGGCAUAGUUAUUGAAGAACAAAAAAGUUGAAGUGGGUAUAAUGGAGGACGUGGUUGAAUCUUAGAACUAUGCUAUGUUGUGAUUUAUGGUUAUACUAUUAUACUAUAAUCUCAAAGCCGGUUUUAUAUAAAAUUUAUUUUUCAAGGCCUGUUGGCUGUGAAUUUCAUGGCUUUAAUUUUACGAAUUGAUUUGGUGCUGUUUUAUUGUUUUGAAAGUUUGAACUUGUUUAUUAAUGGAAUGUAUUUGCUUGUGCAUAUUAUAAAUAACUAGAUUAUGUUUAUCAUAUUUUAUUUAAUGCAUUGGUAAUUGAUAUCAUAUGAUGCAAUAUGUUGAUUUAUUGAUCUGUUUAUACUUAUACACCUGAGGCUAGCAAUUGUGGAUAUUUAAACUACAGUGAAUGUUAUUGUUAGUGCAUUUCUUUGACAAUCUCUUUUACAGGAAAUGUAUACACAAGCCGGACCUCAAUUUCGUGAUGAACUUCACCGCUACAAUCUUCCUUCAUCUAUGGUAUAUAUCUAAAAAGAAUUGAUUUCCUGAUUGUUUUGUUAUAAAUAUCUGCAAACAUACACACAUUUAAAAUUUUAAACUCAUGGAUAUCGAUCUUUGAAGGUCGUUUUACAUUUUACUAUCAGCUACUGUGAGAGUUUAUUAGUUAUUUCUCAUUAUAUCAUGAUGGUUUCAGGUGAAAGAUAUUAAUGCCAGGCUAGAAGGGAUUCAACCAAAAGUUCGCUCUUCAGAUGGUAUUCCAAGUGGUUAUAUUACUGGGGAAAUUAAGACUUCAAAUGUUAACCCCAAGAAAAGUAGUCCAAAGGCCAAAAGUUCUUCAAGGGAGGCCUCUCUUUUUGGAGGUUAGAAUAUUUUCAAUUCUUGGAUCUCAAACAUUUCUAUAUUAAUUUAGUAUUGAUGCAAUUUUAUACAUGCAUCAUGGGUUUACCUUAUGCAUAAUUUCCCUCGUUUACAGGUUUUAUAAUAGUAUAUUUGCUUUACCUUAAAUAAAAAAGUUGUUCAUUUGAGAUAGCUGCAUGACAGUGACAUGUUUGUUUAAUAGUGCGGUGAAUGUGGAGAGUGGCGUGUUUGUUCUACAGAUCCCAUUUUUCUAUUUUAGGGUUUGAAUUUAUAGCGGUUUAUUCUACUUUCUAUCUUAUCAUUGAAGUUUUCAUAUUCAAUUGGCACUAGCUGUGUUGAUUUUCCUUUUGUUUUUUUGCAUCAAUCUGUUUUUGGAACUUAGAGAUACUGUAGCCAACAUGCAUCCUUGGGUAACUCCACAAGUUAUGCCUACAUCGUAAUUGGGAUUCUACCUUGAGCUUUAAUUAAUUUUUGCUCUGGGAUCUUCCUACUUUUAGUCGUCGAAUGGUGGAUAUUUUCUUCUGCAUUUCACUGAAAAGGUUUACAUGAGAUGUAAAAGCAGAAUGUGUUAAAAGUAAAAUCUGAGAUUAUUUUGGUACUGGAACUUCGAAAGAGAUAAGUAACAUUCCUAGUUGUAAAUUUGCAAACAAAAAAUUUUCACAUUGCAUGCAAAUUCUUUGCAUAGUUCAACACUUAUCCUUCCCUUCUUAGCUGGGAAGUUGAUGCUUUAAUUAAUGAAUUAUUUAACUUCACAUUUGUUUAUUAAAUCAUGCGCAGCAGAAGGUGAUGUCACGGAGAAACCUGUAGACCCUAUCAAGAUAUACUCGGAUAAGGAGUUAGUCAGGGAAAUCGAGAAGAUUGCAUCUAUCCUUGUGCCUGAAAAAGACUGGUCCGUUCGUAUUGCUGCUAUGCAGAGAAUUGAAGGUCUUGUUCUAGGAGGUUGGUGUUUUGAAAUUCCUUUUCAGUUCAGGAUUGUGUACUGACUACUGAUCUUCAUAUGCUUAUAAUACAAUUUUAAGAACCUGUUCCCGUUUUGAGGAUCUUAAGAGGGAUAACAGUUACUGCUGUAGAAUAUCUGACUUGAAGAACUGGAUUGAAGAGUGUUUAUCGUGACGUUUUAUGAAUUUGAUUUUGGGUUUUUAUGGUGAUGUUGAUUCAACACCUUCAUCAAUGAAACUAUGUCAUAAACAAUUAUAGAACAAUAACAACAACAACAACCAAGCCUUAUCCCACUAAGUGGGGUCGGCUACAUGGAUCAAAUGACGCCAUAGUGUUCUAUCAUACACCAAAUUUGGAUCCAAGUCAUUGACCUCUAAAUCCUUUCUAAUGGUUUCUCUAAUAGUUUUCCUAGGUCUUCCUCUACCUCUUUUAACUUGACUCCUCCAUUUGAUCUACUCUUCUUACCACGACAUCUAUGGGUCUUCUCUCUACAUGCCCAAAUCAUCUAAGCCUAUUUUCUACCAACUUUUCUACUAUAGGUGCUACCCUCACUCUCUCUCUAAUGGUGUCAUUCCUAAUCCUAUCCUGUCUAGUCUUACCACUCAUCCAACGCAGCAUCCUCAUCUCAUCUCUGCUACACUUACUUGAUUCUCAUGUUGACUCUUAAUCGCCUAACACUCCGUACCAUACAACAACGCCGGUCUGACUGCUGUCCGAUAGAACUUUCCUUUCAACUUAAGUGGUACUUUCUUAUCGCACAAAACAUCUGAGGCUCUUCUCCAUUUCAACCAACCACCCAGCUUGAAUACGAUGGCUUGCAUCUACUUCUAUUUCUCCGUCAUUUUGUACGAAUGACCCAAGAUAUUUAAACCGUGUAACAUGGGAUAUGAUAUGAUCUCCAACUUUCACCUCCAAGGUAGACCUACUUCUCCUUCCGCUGAAGUUACAUUCCAUAUACUCCGUCUUGCUUCUACUCAAGCGGAAUCCAUAUGCUUCUAAGAUUUGCCUCCAGGUCUCUAGCCUCCCGUUCACUUCCUCCCUCGACUCACCCACCAAGACUACAUCAUCUGCAAAAAGCAUACAUCUCGGUGCUAACUCUUGGAUGUGUUCCGUCAAUACAUCCAAAACUAAAGUGAAAAGAUAAGGACUUAGGGUUGACCCUUGGUGCAAUCCUAUUGUUAUGGGAAAAUCUUCCGUAGUCCCAUCCUGCAUCCUCACACUAGUCGAAGCUCCCUCAUACAUAUCCUUGAUAGCCCUAAUAUAGGCAAUCCUAACCCCUUUCUUCUCCAGGGCUUUCCACAAAAUCUCUCUCGGUACUCUAUCAUACGCCUUUUCCAAAUCAAUGAAAACUAAGUGCAAGUCUUUUUUAUCUGUCCGAUAUCGCUCCAUCACGCGUCGAAGUAAGUAGAUUGCUUCCACAGUCGACCUCCCAGGCAUAAAACCAAAUUGGUUAUCCGUAACUCGGGUCUCCUUUCUUAGUCUUCUUUCGAUCACCCUUUCCCAUAACUUCAUGGUAUGACUCAUUAGCUUAAUUCCCCAAUAAGCUUGUUUGGAUUUACUUAUUCAAACUUAUCUACUUACAUAAACACUUAGACCCUGUUUGGAUAACAACUUAUUUGCAGCUUAUAGCAUAAGCACUUAUGUAUAAGAUAUUUCCUCAGCAAAAAGUAAAAUAAGGUUAAAUUGUUUUUGUAUAAGCUAUAAACUGUUUUCAUAAACUAUCUUAGAGAACUAAUGAAAAUAAGCUGAAAACAGCUAAUGAACAUGCAUAAGCUCAUUUUACAAGUUCUCUCAAACAGUCUCACAAAACUUAUCCCUGUAUAUAAGCUCAAAUGAACCAAUCCAAACAGGCCCUUGUUAGACUGCUUGAGAGAGCUUAUGGAACAUGUUAUGACAUGUCCAUAAGCUGGUUUCAUCUUAUUUCCACAAGCUCUCCAAUUUAGCUUAUGGAACAGCUUAUAGCUUAUAUGAUAAUUAUUUGACUUUAUUUUAUCUUGUUAUAUAAAUAGCUUAUACUGCAGCACUUAUAUGUUAUACGCUUAUGCUAGAAGCAGUUAAUUAAAUUGUUUAUCUAAACAGGGUCUAGGACCAAAAACUACCACUGUCGAGGGAUAAGAGUAAACUUUUGUUUCAUUUGAAGAGGAGAGUAUUAGGAUCCCAGUUCUAUAAAACUGGGGGAUGUGGGCUUAUUUAGGGCCUUAAACUUUAGUUUCAUUUUUUAAUAUAAAUUGAUCAGAGUUCCGAGCCGACAUUUCAUUGAGUCUGUUAUGUAUUUUGAAUUAUCUUCUUUGUUCAUAUCUAUUUUUUUAAUUAAUUUUUUGUCAAUAUUUAAGGAAAAAUAGCUGUACAUUAUUGUAAUUUUAACUGAGCUAUUUUUGUGUAAUACAGUUAUUUUUAUUUUUGUGUCUGUGUAAUGAUUGCUGAAUCUUCUUAAUACUCUCCUUGUCAGGCGCUGCUGAUUAUCCAUGUUUUCGUGGACUCCUGAAGCAACUUGGCGGACCUUUAAGCACACAAUUGUCAGACAGAAGAUCUAGCAUUGUAAAGCAGGUGCACCAACAUUUUUAUUGUACUAUACUGUCAUUAUUUAAUGCAAGUGUUUUUAUUUGUUAGUGAAAGAUAAUUGUACUUUGCCAAUGUGAAAAUUUGAUUGCCUGUUCAUCCUUCUCUCUUUCAAAACUGAGGUUUGUGAAUGUUCUCUGUUGAAGGCUUGAUUACUCGAAGCAAUCCUGCUUUGUUUAUCAUCUUAAAGUGAAAAUUUCAUCUAUUCAUUGACUUUGUCAUAGGUGAGGUUCAUGUUAUAUUUAGUACUAAUACCAAACUAAUUUUGGUUUGUUCUUUUCUUGUGUAUUAUAGGCUUGCCAUUUAUUAUGCUUUUUGUCAAAGGAACUCUUGGGUGAUUUUGAAGCAUAUGCUGAAAUGUUUAUACCAGUAAGUUCAACCAGUUAUCUUUGGACUGUCAUGAAUGUGAUACUUUCAAAAUUAUUAAUUCUUGAUCUGAUAAUCAGGUCCUUUUCAAGCUGGUUGUGAUUACUGUGCUUGUAAUUGCAGAGUCUGCAGAUAACUGCAUAAAAACGGUAAUGUAAUCUGCUGAUGUAAUUAUCCGCAUCUUUUUAUGCCUUUUACGUGUUCCAUUUUCACCUUCAUCGUUUACCUUUCCAGAUGCUGCGCAACUGCAAGGUUGCUCGUGUGCUUCCCCGUAUAGCUGAUUGUGCUAAAAAUGACCGCAAUGCAGUGCUUCGUGCAAGGUAUGGAUUGUCAACUAUUGAAAAGUGACUUGAGAAUUUUUUGGUUUUUACAACUCCAUCUGUACUGUAGGUGUUGUGAGUAUGCUCUUUUGGUCCUAGAACAUUGGCCAGAUGCACCAGAAAUACAUCGUUCAGCUGAGUUAUAUGAGGAUAUGAUAAAGUGUUGUGUUUCAGAUGCAAUGAGCGAGGUAGAGUUAUAGGUUCAGGUUAUUUGACAUUUAGUAAAUAUAUGUUUUGUGCAUUGAAGUUGUAAAUCUGACUAGCUUUUUCAUUAGGUUGCUCUUCUUUCUGAGCUAUGCAAAAUAAUUUACAUAACUUUGGUUGGUGUGUUGCAUUUGCAGUUGUGGGAAGUGACAAUGUUUCUCUUGUUUGCUCUUUACUUUAGGAACAUAGCCAUUCCCAUUAAAUGUCUAAUGUUGUAAAUUGUAAAUUCCAUUGGUGAUACUGAAAUUGUAAAAAAUCAUAUGCUAAUUGGUUUAUCGUUUGGCUUUAUGUCUCGAUAUUGUCGGUGUACGGCAAAGGAUAAUUAAUUCUGAAAAUUUGCAUCAAUAAAAUUUGUGCAAAAGUGACGCGUCUGUUAUGUCCAACCAAAGAAAAGGGAUCUGUUCAAUACUCUUUGUGCGUGUAUGCAUGUGUACUGCACUUGCAGAAAUGCAAUGAUUAAAGAUCAGUUUUACUUUUCCAACAUGAACAUAAGAGAGAAAAUAAGCAUCCAAAAGGAAAUUGUAUUGUAAGAAGCUCACUACUCUCCUGCAUCAUGUCCCUUAAGAAAAUCAGGGUCGGAGACAUAAAAUCUUUUUUUUUCUUCCCAAAUCUAUAGAUUUUAUCAUUUGGAACACAUUAUUUGAAUUUUUUUAUUCUUCUACGUAAAAGAGCAUUCAAAUGAUGUGAUUAUUUUUUAUUCUGUUUCAUCAUAUAAUGUUGGUUUGGAAAGAUUUUGAGAUAUUGUCAUGCAGUAUGAACAAUAUUCAUUGACAUGGGAUUGUUCAUACGAACCACAUUAUUGUUGCCAAAGUAUAUGUGCAUGAAAAUGGUUACUGUGUGAAAAUUUAUAGGUACGAUCUACUGCAAGGAUGUGCUACAGAAUGUUCGCAAAAACUUGGCCAGAGCGUUCUCGUCGCCUACUUUCAUCCUUUGACCCUGUUAUCCAACGGGUAUGCACUUAUGUUCUUGAGGGUGUUUUUCUUCCUUCACUUUGUGCUGUGCCAGUCAUAUUUUAAAGUGAAUUUUAAUUGCAGUUAAUAAAUGAAGAGGAUGGAGGAAUACACAGGCGACAUGCUUCACCUUCCAUUCGUGAUAGAGGUGCACUGACGUCAUUAUCCAUUCAAGCCUCUGCUUCGUCUAAUCCACCUGGUUAUGGAACAUCUGCAAUUGUUGCAAUGGAUAGAAGUUCAAGUUUAUCAUCGGGGACAUCUGUCUCUUCUGGUGUACUUCUUUCACAGGCAAAGUCACUUGGUAAGGGUACAGAACGUAGUUUGGAAAGUGUGUUGCAUGCAAGCAAACAGAAGGUCACUGCUAUUGAAAGCAUGCUUAGAGGCUUGAAUAUGUCUGAUAAGCAUAAUGGAUCGUCUCUCCGGUCAUCAAGUUUGGAUCUAGGUACUAAAUAAGUUUAGUUGUUAAAUAUUUUUAUUUUAUACUCAAUUUUCAGGAUUUUAAACUAUUUCAUGGUUGGUGGUAGUGGUGUGUUUCUUUUGUAAACUCUUCAUGAGCGGCUAAAUUUUUCUCUUAUUGCCCCUAGUGCAGAAGUUGACCCUCCAUCGUCUCGUGAUCCGCCUUUUCCAGCUGCUGCCUCUGCAUCCAAUCAUUUGACAAGCUCUUCAACAACAGAACCUACUGCUUAUGGUGUCUAUAAAGGUAGUAACCGAAAUGGGGGUCUGGGCUUGUCCGACAUAAUCACUCAAAUUCAAGCUACCAAAGAUUCUGCCAAGUCAUCAUAUCAUAGUAAUGUUGAAAUUGAGCCUUUACCAUCAUUAUCCUCAUAUUCAACUAGAAGGGCUUCUGAAAGAUUACAAGAAAGGAGUUCUGCUGAUGACAAUAGUGACAUCAGGGAGGCUAGGCGAUUUAUAAACCACAACACUGAUAAGCAGUAUUUGGAUGCCCCUUAUAGAGAAGGAAACUUUAGGGAAUCACAUAAUAGUUAUGUGCCUAAUUUUCAGAGGCCACUAGUGAGAAAGAAUGCAACUGGACGUAUGUCUGCUGGCAGGAGGAGGAGUUUUGAUGAUAACCAGCUAUCUCUUGGAGAAAUUUCAAGUUAUUCGGAUGGACCAGCAUCUCUUCAUGAAGCUUUGAGUGAAGGACUUAGGUCAGGUUCUGACUGGUCUUCUAGGGUUGCUGCCUUUAACUAUCUUCACUCGUUGUUGCAGCAAGGUCCAAAGGGAACUCUAGAAGUUGUUCAGAAUUUUGAGAAGGUAAUGAAGUUGUUUUUCCAGCACUUGGAUGAUCCUCACCAUAAAGUUGCACAGGCUGCUCUUUCAACACUAGCAGAUAUAGUUCCAGCAUGUCGAAAGCCUUUUGAGGGAUACAUGGAAAGAAUAUUACCACACGUCUUUUCCCGGUUAAUUGAUCCUAAAGAGGUUGUUAGACAGCCAUGUUCAACAACAUUGGAAGUUGUUAGCAAAACGUACAGUGUCGAUUCUCUCUUACCUGCACUGUUACGUUCACUAGAUGAGCAAAGGUCUCCAAAGGCUAAAUUGGCCGUGAUUGAAUUUGCAAUCAAAUCCUUUAACAAACAUGCAAUGAAUGCAGAAGGUGCUGCUAAUAUUGGCAUAUUAAAAUUGUGGCUUGCUAAGUUAACCCCUUUGGUUCAUGACAAGAAUACAAAGCUUAAAGAAGCAGCUAUUACAUGCAUUAUUUCAGUGUACAAUCACUUUGAUUCGACCGCAGUUCUUAAUUUCAUUCUGAGUUUGUCAGUGGAAGAGCAAAAUUCUUUGAGACGAGCCCUAAAACAGUACACCCCUCGCAUUGAAGUAGACCUAGUAAACUAUCUACAGAACAAGAAAGAGCGGCAACGUUCCAAGUCUUCCUAUGAUCCAUCUGAUGUUGUAGGAACGUCAUCUGAAGAUGGGUAUGUUGGUUUCUCUAGGAAAGCUCAUUACCUUGGAAGAUAUUCGGCUGGUUCCCUAGAUAGUGAUGGUGGCAGGAAGUGGAGCUCUCAGGAUUCAACUCUUUUGAAAUCGAGUCUUGGUCCAGCAGCUUCUGUUGAAUGUGAGGAUCAUAAUCAUAGUCAUAACCAUAAUCUUGAGACUGAUUCUAAUUGUGACAGUCCUGGUUCAAAACCCAAAGAUCUUGCAUAUUCAGUCAAUCCAAUGGGUCAAAAUUUUGGCUCUCAAUCUAGCCAACUUGGACAAGUGGACAGUAGCAUGAAUUUCGAGGGUCUUUCAACUCCUCGUCUAGAUGUUAACGGUCUGAUCUCAUUAGAGCGUUUAAAUGUUGGUGAAGGCUAUGCACAUGACAAAGAACUUCCUUCCGCAUUGGAACUUAAUCACCACUCAACCGAAGCUGUAAAGAUCAAUUCCAUGGCAGACACUGGGCCCAGCAUUCCUCAAAUUCUUCAUAUGGUGAGUUAUGCGACUGUGGAGGAACAAGUUGGUUUUCUAAUUUUAUUAAUCGAAACAAAAGAUUCUGUAAGAGAGAUAAAGAGUGGGUGAGAGGAAUAGGAGGGAAAUAAGCCAUUCUCCAUGAAAAACAUAUUGUAGCAAACAAAGUAGGAAGAAAAAGAAUCAUCAGCUCAAGAAAAAAGGAAAAUUGAUCAAAAAAUCAAAGGAACUAAACAAUUUGCUGAGUACUGAUAAUAGGUGAAUGGUUUAUCCUCAAUUCCUCAUGGCCCUGUUUACUCAAUCCAAAAAAGUAUAAAUGAAUCAGUACCGUAACUAACCCCUCUAACUAAUGAAUCAGUACCGUAAUUAACCCCUCUAACUAGACAACCAACCGCUCUAAUGAUCCCUAAUUCCGUUUUCCUUUUCAUCUGUCCUUGACAAAAACAGAAACCCCUAAAGUCAUUGGCUAUUAAACCUUUCCUUGUAUCUUUUGUAUGCUCACCCUUCCCAAAACCUUGAUAAUGAGCUGUAAAAACAAAUGUCUGCUUGUGGAAUCAUUUUUAUCUAGCUGAUCAUUUUUUAGGUUUAUUAUAGUAGUUAUAUAUUAUACUAUUUGGCAUCACAACUCAAAAGAUAUAGUUAUUUUGUGUAGAUAUGCAAUGCUGAUGACGGUAGCUCUGUUUCAAGUAAACAGACUGCACUUCAACAGUUAUUUGAAGCUUCUACAACAAAUGACCAGUCUGUUUGGACCAAGGUAUGCUUUAUUUGAUAUUGAGUGUCUCUCUUUCUUCUUGUCCCCAUGUUGUUUAGCUAUUAUUCCUAUUUCCAAAUACACUGUUUUGGUAUGAUAAAGUAAAUGUCCAUCAAACUCCAUUAUUCAAAUGUGGCAUUUUAUUGUGUUACUAAUGUUUAUUAUUGGAUAGUUGGUAUCAAGUAAUUCUUCUUGUCUUCCUAUCUCUGAUAAUAUUAUAGGGUUUUUUACAGAGGGAAGAAAGAAAAUAAUGACUUUGAAUUAUGAUUUAUGUUUAAACACAAAAGACUAAGGGCUAACCUUUAUAUAUUCUGGUACUGGAUUCGUUAUCCUAAGAUCCUGAUUAAAUAACGAAGUUGGAGACAUUUGAGAGAUGACAAUACAUUGCUCGAAGGACAACUCGACAAGAUGGCUUGUAUGAUCAUCAAUUGGAAGUGCUGUUUGAUUUUUUGUUUAACCAAAAAGAACAUGGGAGACUUUGAAAUCACAAAGAAAGUCAGUAUUUUUACAAAAACAAAAAUUUAAAUUGAGCUUGACGUGCAUUUGAGGUAUAAAUAAAUCAUACAGCAUACCUUAUUAUUAGGUAGCAGAAAUCAUUUUUGGCAUAAUUCAUAGAAGCUGGUAUAGAUCACAGUUUUUUUCAUUAUUAUUUUGGAGUAGUCAAUGUCAAAUUGCAUAUGGGAUUGCUGAGGCCAGAUUGAAUCUGGGAGAGUUAAAGCCAGACUACAUUUAGGAUAGGGUCAAACUUUAUCUGGGACAACUUGAGGUUGAGACAAAUUGGUCCAUGGCUUUUUGAGUUGCAGAAGCGAUAAAAAUUGUGCAUGACCAAGAAAAAGCAAGAAUCAUGGAGAUAAUGUGGUGAUCAAUGUAGUCAGGAUAGGAACGAGUUCCUACGUAGGUUCGAUUGGCCGGUUCGAUUGGAAAGUGUGGGCUUCUUAAGCCUCAUAAGCCCGAAGUAUCUCUAGGCAAUAUGGGAUUAAGCACACCCUUCACAUUUAGCACAAGUAUCAAUGUUUUUGAGUUUAUACUGAUUGUUCAUGUGCAAUCAAUCAAUUGAUUUAUAAAAUAGACAAGUUAUGUUUGUAUAAGAACAAUAUGUCUGAUUUAGUUGACAGCAAUGCACAGCAUAUUUGGAUUUUUUUGCGCUUAAGUAAUGGUUGUUUCAUGGUGUACUUGCAGUACUUCAAUCAGAUUUUGACAGUUGUGCUUGAGGUGCUGGAUGAUUCCGAUUCCUCAGUCAGAGAGCUCACUCUUUCGUUGAUAGUGGAAAUGCUCAAAAACCAGGUUCGUACUCUUAAGCCAUUUUUUCAGACCACUCAUAUCAGUACCUUCCACUGUAUCUUUCUCCCUAUGUAUAAGACAUUUUUGGGAUUUCAAUAAUAUGGUAAAAAAAUACAGUAAUUAGUUGUGCAGAUUAUUUAUUUAUUUUUUACUUUUAUUGUUAACAGAAAGAUGCCCUGGAGAAUUCAGUUGAGAUUGUAAUUGAGAAGCUGCUUCAUGUUACAAAAGAUAUCGUUCCUAAGGUAGCCAAAGUUGUCCUGUUCUAGUUGGUCUUUUCUAUUUUUCCUUUCUUUUCGUAGUCUCAGUUUCUUCCAUCCCUUAUUCAGGUUUCAAAUGAAGCAGAGCACUGCCUGACCAUUGUUUUAUCUCAGUCUGAUCCAUUCAGAUGUUUAAGUGUACGUAUUUGUGAUUUUUGUCUGUGUAGCAACCUCAUUCCCUGUAAAAUGUUUGAGAAAAGAAAAUGGGAUUCUCUUUGUUAAAAUCUAAUGCUCAAUGUUUUAAACUGUUUCAGGUUAUUGUCCCCCUACUGGUUACCGAUGAUGAGAAAACGCUUGUCACUUGCAUUAAUUGCUUAACAAAGGUAAUUAUCUCUUGAACAACCUUUUUACUAUUUUGGAAAUGCGUGUCAAUGAUUUUUUAUAUAUUUCUAAAUGAGGCGGGGUGUUACUUUGUGCCCAUAUGCUAUACCAAUGUGCUGGUGAUAGGGGUGGGCAUGGUUCGAUUUUUGAAGAAAACCGAACCGAACCGAUCCAACGGUUUGAAAAACUGAACCGAAUCGUUUGAGUUUUGCAAGGAACCGAACCAAAGUUAUGGUUCGGUUAACCGUUUUAUUGUCUACAGACCGAACAAAACCGAACCUAAAGUAAUAUUUUGAUCUAAAGUGUAUUUUCUUAUCCUUUUGCAAACCAAAUUGUUUUUUUGUUCUUUUCAUAAAUUUGAAUUGUGCGGCGGGUGUUAAGAAAUUUUAUCCUCUCAAAAAGUUAGUGAGACUUUUUAUUAAUUAUAUUAAACUAUGACCAAAUGCAUUAAGCCUUUUUAAAAAUUAAAUCACACCGGUUAUUAAUUUCUUGUGGUUUUACUAGUUGUAUUUUAGGAAUAUCAACAAAAACAUUAAUAAAUUCCAAUUACAAUGCAUGAUGAAAGGGAAAAUAAAAUUUCAUUAUUAAACUACGAAGUUUGUUCUUUUCUAAUGGUUUGGUUCGGUUUAUUUCGGUUCAAAAUGGUUCAGUUAUGGUUCAAUAACCAUUAUUAAAUUACUGGUUCGGUUCGCAAACCACUUUAAUGGUUCGGUUAAUUUCAGUUCGGUUCGGUUCAGCGGUUCGGUUCAGUUUGUUGUUCUUUUUGCCCACCCCUGGCUGGUGAUACUUGUAAAACAUAUCGUGGAGGUGUCUUGCUUUUCUUAUUUAUUUUAUAUCCUAUGUUAAUUGGCUACUACAUUAUAUGAAUACAACGGUUUUAAUUCUUUGUACAAAAAAAUAGCAUAAACCAGUGAAUGAUCCUUAAAUUGGACUUGAAGCUUCAAUCUAACCAGCAAACUGUUGUAUCCUCCUUCGAUUAAGUCUUUUUCCUAAAGUCAUUUUCAAGCUAAAACUCUGUUUUUUUGUUUUAUGAAUAUGUUUUAUGUAUUCUAGGCCAGGCUAUCAUGAGAAUUCACUAUAUCUCCAUAUCUGUAUCAUGUGAUACAUGUAUUACAUACCAUUCUUCUUAAAAAGGAAUCCAUUUUAAUGAACGGAUUAAUUAGUUAUGCUUUCUAAACAUGUGUGACAAAUAACAUCAUAUUAUUCCUUUCUUCAGCUUGUGGGCAGGCUCUCUCAGGAGGAACUGAUGGCUCAGUUACCCUCGUUUCUACCUUCUCUUUUUGAAGCUUUUGGAAACCAGAGUGCAGAUGUUCGCAAGGUACUUGGGUCUCUUACAUUUUUUGAAAUUUUUGGUUAUAAUUUCGUAACUGUCAAAGAACAACGUGAUGUGUGUAUAUGUGUAUAUCCAAUUUAUUUGCCAACCAAAAAUCAGAUGUUUGAGACCUCUCUGGUUAUCUGGUACCUACUUAAACGUAUUUGGUACCUUAAAAUAGUCAUCUGUUCCAAAUAUUGAUGAGAAAUCAUUUUGGUCAAUAAGACUAAGGUGUCACUAAUUGAAACAUCUUUGAUUAUUGAACAGAACUUACUUUUAUAUGAACUCAACAUUCAUCAUCCAAAAAUGUCGUAUGAAAUUAAGUGCUGGACAAAAAAUAUUCAAUAAGAAACUAAAACUCAAUGUUGGGGAUGUGAGAAUGGGUAGUUAAGUUGUCAUACCUACUCACACAAAACAAGAUAGGAUUAGAAAGGAAUGCAUACAAGGGAUGAAGGUUGGGUAGCACAUAUUGUCACAAAUACGGUACAGUCUUGCCUUAGUCUAGCCUUGUCGUAGAGUGCUAGUAUUGAGGUAGAUUAGAUGUAAAAUGGUUCUUAAAUGAGGCACUGGCAAUUUGUAUACCUUCCAAUACAAUCUAGCCUUUUUAAUAAUAAUAAUAAUAAUAAUAAUAAUAAUGAUGAUGAUGAUGAUGAUGAUGAUGAUGAUGAUGAUGAUGAUGAAUGCCCCACCCAAUACAAAGUCAAUUUGUAGACCUCACUCCAUCUCCAUCUUCCACCGCUGUCUCUGAAAAGUCAUCGCUGGCCCAAUCAUCCCAUGGGAAGCACACUGCAAGGAAAAAUACGAUAUUGUGAAAACUUGUAAUGGGAGAGUUUAGGGGGAACAAGUAGGGGUCUUGGUCCCCACAUCCUUGCAACAAUUUUUUGGUUAUAUUUAAUAUCAUAUUAUCAUUUGAUGUUAAAAAGAAGUGUUCCUGCCACUGCUGUCCGAAAAGGUCAUCGCUGGCCCAAUCAUCCCAUGGGAAGCACACUGCAAGGAAAAAUAUGAUAUUGUGAAAACUUGUAAUGGGCGAGUUUAGGGGGAACAAGUAGGGGUCUUGGUCCCCACAUCCUUGCAACAAUUUUUUGGUUAUAUUUAAUAUCAUAUUAUCAUUUGAUGUUUAAAAAGAAGUGUUCCUGCCACUGCUGUCCGAUUUUUCCCUCAUGUCAUGACCUAUGAUUAAAACAAAUUUAACUGGACGUUCCAAUAAUGUUUUUUCAAGUAAUGACUAACCAUGGUAAAAAAAAAAAAAAAAAAAGUAAUGACUAACCUUGUUACCUUAGUUAUUUGUUACCUCAGUACCCUACUAUUUGCUUACAUCUUUCGAUUCUUAACAAAGAAGUUGACCCUUCAUUCCUGGGCUGUCCUUCCUAUAAACAAACUUGUUUGUACGUUAUUCCAGUAUAAUUUGCCAUAUGAAUUGCAUUAAUAGAAAUUGAUGAUCAUUCCCUUCCAUUCUUAAAUUGAGGGAUUAUUCUAUUCCAUCCCCUCAUUUGAACAAAAUUAUUUUCGGGACCUAAUGCUUUCCAUGUAUUGAACUCAUUGUAUUUUGGUGCUGGUGAUUUGAGCUAAGCAUCUGAAUUUGCAUUGCACCCGAUGACAAAAUAAUGAGAUAUAAUUGAAUAUUCAUAUCAAAAGAAAGUGAUAAAUCUGAAUGGCUUAAAUAUGUCUGGUUCUAUUCUUUUAAUGAGGAUUAGAGUAAUAUUUUUAUCGUUACUAAUUGUUAGUUUGUUUUUAUGUACAUGUCCUUUGUUCUCUUGAUAUCUGGUCUGUUUCGUUGCUCAUUUUAUUUAAAUGGUGGAUGGUUGCAGACUGUUGUUUUCUGUCUCGUGGAUAUUUAUAUCAUGCUUGGGAAAGCAUUCUUGCCAUAUUUGCAAGGCCUUAACAGCACACAGUUGAAGCUGGUCACAAUUUAUGCGAAUCGAAUCUCACAAGCCAGGACAGGCAAAGCAAUUGAUAUCGUUCAUGAUUAGCAGGUUCAUUAUGUAAAGAAAAUUUGUGUUUUGGGUGUUGUCAUCUUCGUUGCUGUGCAUUUUGUAUAUUACCGUGAAAGAAUUUUAGAAUUGGGUUCCAAUUCUUUCCUUCUUCACCUUUGUUCUAUAUAUAUAGCUUUUUUUUUUCCUUUCCUUUUUGCCUGUCAAUGUUUGUUGGGUGUUUUUUUGACAAAAUAUUUGUUGGAAUUUGGUGAGUGCUUGUGGUGAAAUACAGUGAAAUUUGUAAUCUACAUUGAGAAACAUUAUUGAUUGUAUUUAAUGGUUUAAAAAGAAAGCCGCAUUGGUUCAGUUAUUUGAAUACUUUGGUUGUUUCCAAAAGCUUUUCUUCCAGCUGUAAAUUUGAUUUCCUCCAACAGCGAACAUUUGGGUUUUUUGGGGUAUGCAUGUGUAUGUGUGAGCUAACGAGAAAGGAAAUCGUCUCCUAAUUCAUUAGUGACUUUUUUUUUUACUUCGACCGUUAUGGACAAUGAAUAAUAUAUGCAAGGUCUGGGGUUCAAAUCUCGGCCGUCACAAAAAAAUCUUAAAAAACUAGAAAACUAUUACAUUCCCUAAAAAAAGAGUACAUUAAAUGACUUUUUAUUUUAAAAAAGUAAAAAUAGAAUCAAACCGUCUAAUACUCCAUUCAUAUGAUUGUGUGCAAUAAAGGAGCUAAUACCCAAAAAAAAAGGGGGCUAAUACCCAAGGUACUUUUUUUAAGGAGCAAAUCAUUGCAUUUUAUUAGCUACAAUAUGCAAAAUACACAAUGGUAUAUCAUCAUAUAUUCAUAUAUGUGGGAGCUGUGGGAGCUAUAUGGGGCUACCUGAGUUAACUCGUGAGCGACCCCAUUAACAUGCUUUUAAAACCCAAGUUAUUAAAAGCAGAUGAUUUCUUGAGGGGUGUUUUUCAGUGCACAAGAUAUAUUAAAGUGGUCUAAAAAUGUCUUCUGUAAUUGAACAUUGAAGGCUUAGGGUGAAAUCUCGCUAAACUUAAUAAUAAUAAUCGAUGGAUUUUGAGUUAGGUUCUACCUUCGGAAAACUCCUCAAGUUGGCCACAUUAAGUGUCUGUUUGGUUAGUGGUGGGAAGGAGUUAACGCAUGUCUGGAGUGAAGCAAAUUCUCUGCUUCUUGUUCCAUGACCAAAAAGUGCAUUGCGACGCGAUUUUUUUAGUUGCCGCGGAUUUGAAACUUCACACCACACACUAAGCCCAUGCCAAAUCUCACAAAACUCUGUAUAAACCUCCGCAUUCAUCUCGUUGAGAACAUACUCAACCAUACAAUUGACCUUCAUCCACCUAUAAAGAGGAACCAACUGGAUUUGAAUUGCACUGGAAGCAUUGACCCUUAGGAUGAUGCCAAAACCAAGCAAAAUUUUAGGAAAAACGUUUUCACCUCCCAACAUGAGUUUGGGUGUACACAGAAAAACUACAAAUUUUGUACUUUUUGAAAGUGUUUUUUAAUAAGCAAAUUUAUUAGAGUACAAAGGCUACUUAAUCCCGUAAUAGAAUUACCAAAAAGAAUCUUUAAAGCAAAUUAAUGGAUUGAUCAACCUACUAGCCUUAGCAUGAAUUUUCCCUCAAAAAAAAAAGCCUGGGUAUGAAUUUGAUUUGUAGUCAUAGAAAUCUGUAACAACACCUUCGAGCAAAAUCAAAUUUUUAUAAUUCCAUAUAUCAAAACAAAAACCAGCAGGUUCAAACUACUCCAUUUGCUAUUGUGAUGAAAACAAAUAUUGCACCAACUCCUCUAUUACCACAUUCGUUCUCAUACGCUUUGAAGACAAGUGAGAGGGCUACUAUUCCACCAAAUAUUGCUUCCACAGGUGUUAAAAACUCUGCUACAUAACAUAAUACUUUCCUUCCACUCCCAUUUGUCGUUUGCCCAAUUAAUCUUCUUACUUUCAGCCCCUCCUACCCACAAAAAUCUUUUUAAAUUUGAGAAAUAUCAUUUAAGAUCUUCUUUGAAUUGAAGCCUUAUACUAAGAGAAGAAAAAUAGCGGUAAAGUACUCAAUACUGAAUUCAUUAACACUUCCUCCUAUAGAUAAAUGUCUUCCAUUCCAACCAGGGCGUUCCGAUAAAAAUGGAGGCCAUGUUCAAAUAAUAAAAAUUGGCCCCUAUGAAAAAAUAAGAUAGUCAUUUUUAUUAAGUAAAAGUAAGUUUGUACAUGGGAGGAACUAAUUAACUUGUGUUAAACUUCACUAACCAGUAAUUGUUUUAAUAUUAAAGUAAAAGUAAGUUUGUAUAUGAGAGGAACUAAUUAACUUGUGUUAAACUUCACUAACCAGUAAUUGUUUUAAUAUUAAAAAUUGAGUUCAUAAUAAAAAGAAACGCCAAAAACUUAAAAAGAAUCAUCACUUUGUUUAGUGUAAAAUGGAUCUUAAGUAUAUUGGUUGUUGUUGCUUAAAAAAAAGUGUCUUUGCUAUCUAAAUAGUGACAAAGUAGUACUAAUAUCGAAAAAAAUAGUAGCAAAUUAGUACUAACAUGCGUGAUUAAACUUAAAACAAUAGAAAAAAAAAUACUAAUUAUUUAACAGAUUUAAUUUGUGUUGUUAAUGGAAAUAGAAGACAAAAAAUUCAAGAUAUUUAGCAGUUUUCUAUAUUCAUAGAUAACUCUGAAAUGCAUGUUAAAUUGUAAUGGUCUAGUAGUUGUGUAUGUAAUUGAGACUUUUAUAUUCGACUCAAAUUCACACAAAUGCUCGUGAUGGAACCUCAAGACCAAAUACUCAAAUGCAUUCUAUUUUACUACUAAACUAUUACAAGAUGUCUAUUGAUUUUUUAUAUUUUAUUAUAUAUACCUAAUACUUUUUGGUGCUAUAUUCAAAAAAUAUAUUUUGAAACUCCUAAGAUUGAGGCACGGUACCGUAGUUCACCUUGUGCUUGCUAAGGGCCGGGCCUGAUUCCACCAAGAAAGUAUCUUCUUAAGCAAUUUUUAACUACCGUCGAACAAAACCAGUAGUAAUUAACUACCGUUGGAGACAAAAACGUCAUUUCCAUGAGUUAUUAUGAAUUAUUUGAUGUCAGAAAAACAAUUUUCUUCUUAAAAGCCAAAUGGCACUUUAUCCACAUUGCAACGCAGGAAGUUAGAUGCCACCAAUACAGAAGAUUUAUCCAAAUUUAAACCACAUUAUUUGGUUUUAGAAAAGUUCACUUUUAAUCCGGAAACCAUUUCAAAACUCCUUUUGAAGUGUAACUCCGAACAAUUUGUGCUGUUUAAAAACAAUUAAAUGACAUUUGUAAAAGAAAAUAAAAAAAUUGUGCCAAAAGUGUUCAAAAGUACAGAACAUAAGAUAUUUUUUUAGUAAUGAACAACUCUAGUCUAAAAUUCCCAUCAACAGUGAUGGAAAAUCGCCACAUUGCUAUUUUUUCAAAAGCUGUCAAACAAGAAUAUUACCACAUUCUCAUUCCACUCAAUCUAAAAAAAUGUCAUAGCAAGCAAGUGCAUGUAUUUAAAACAAUUAAAUCAAUAAAUCAACCCAUAGUUUUUUCAUGUGACAAAAUAUAUUCCAUGAUUCUUUCUUCUCUACUUUUAAUGUCGAUAACCUUCAGCUUGACUCUCCACGGUAUGCUAUUGCUAAGGGUGACCAUUAGCAGAAGCAUGAUCAAUUGAUCAUUGAUAUGAUUAUUAACAGGAGCACGAUUACCAUUACUACAAAAGACACACAAAAAAACCAUUAAUUAAUUUUGUGUUUCGAUACGCGGUACAACACUUUAUUAUCGUGUCUCGAUGUACAUUCAUUUAGAAACCACAUUUUCUAGGUUCUACUCUAGUAAAUUUGAUACAAUUGUGUACUAUGCAAAUAUAAAUGAUAAAAAUCAAUUCACAAGUAAAUUAAGGUAUCUUAUACUGUCUGUUAUACACGCAUGAGCAGAAACUAAUCUCUCCAGAAAAUUGAUAUUCCAUUUAACGGUUCGAUAUUUUUUGAUAUAUAUUUUUUCAUACACAUUGGUCAAUGAUCAAACAUUAAAUUAAAUGAUCAAGGGUCCAAGUUAAUACCAUUUAUGCUAGAGUAUGUUGAUUAUAAGUUCAUAGAUACAUCCUUAAAACAAAAAGUCCAUAGAUACAUAAUGCUUUCUUGGUGAUGUGAUAUAGUAUGGGUUUGAUUUAGUUUUGCGGAGUUAUACGUAUGUUUAGAAUGCCAUUUUGCUGUGAAUUUGUAAAGUUAAAAAUCUCAACUUCUAGUACAUGUGCGUCUGCGUCAUUCCUGCCGAGGAAACAAACGGUCCAAUAGUUUAUUUCUUUGCACAUAAGGUAGAAAACCUUGCGUAAUUAUAUGCAAUAUUACAUCAACAUUUUUGUUGAUAGCAAUUUACAUCUACACUAAUCUUUUUUCUUCUCAUCAUGUUAUUGCCACGAAGAUUUAACCGCUUUUAACAAUGAUCAAUAUAUAUAUAUAUAUAUAUGUUGAGGAACUUGUCAAGCAUACAAUGUGGGUUCUACAUUUUCAAUCGAUUUUUUUUCAUGUGCAAAAUCAAUAAUCAAACCCCUAAUCACCGUUUAAGAGGUCCAAAUUCUUUGCUACUUGAACAAAACAUUUGUAAGUACAUCUACAUUAUUAUUGAUGUAAGAUUACACAAUUGUAAUCUUACAUCUACAUCAAUAUGUGUAAUAUUACAUAUAUUUAAAUGAAUUUGUAAUCUUUGCUACUUGAUUACUCCUCACACAUAUAUAAUAGUACAUAUUGUUGGUAGAACAAUAUUUGGUUAGACUUUACUUACUUUUUAAUCGAAUUUCAGAUUUUUAGGGUCCUUUUCUUUCAAGAACUGGAGGGUUAACACCAAAAAGUACAUGUUGUUGGAUUAUGAAGCGAGCACAAGGAUCAUUAAAUUGCACUAAAAACAGCUACACAAGUGAGUUGCACACUACAUCUUUACCUCUAAUCUAUAAAGCGAUACCUGCUUGCUUUGACAUAAUUUAAAAUUAAUGAUAUAGAGUUAUUCGUGAGACUCUUAUCGUAACAUUUUUGUAGAGGUGCGGGUUAAAUGGAUUGAAUGUUUAUCAGAUAUUAUUAUAAAAUCAUAACUGGGUGAUAUAAAUACCAAAAGUGGUGUAUGCCGACUAGAACUCACACUUCCCCUAACAUAUAACAUGUGGAUAAAUAUGAAAUAAAGAAUCAAGUUCUAAAGUUCUAUGUAUAACUAGAAUUGAGUAGCUAGUAGAGCUCUAUGAUUCUAAUCUGUUGUAGACAUCACUUAAACUAUUAUGGUCCUCCAGUUGUAAAUAAAGUUUUAUACGUGGACAUGUACGCUUACUUACCUCUGUUUAUUCUUUUUCGUUGCAUUGUAAUGUAAGGAAAGCACUUGAUGGCUACAAGGAAGAAGAAAUGAAGUCACAAGUUUAAUUUGGUUCAUUCAUUUUUCGUGCCAAAGAAAAUGAAAGGCAAGUAGCAAAAGGACCUCAAAAAAAUAUACAGAAAAUUUUAUUGUCUUCUUGUCUAGCUCAAAAUAGAAAAUGAUGCCCUACAAAUUUAUUCAAGAUAGGAAUCACCUCCAUUUUUGGAAAAAAACUAUCACAUUCCCUUAGAUUUUGAGAUUUUCAGCAGAAUCCAAAGGCACACUUGCACAAAUCAAGUUGAUGCUUACGUACUUCUUCUUCCAAUUGGGCACUUCAUUUUCCUUUGAAUCAUAUGUCUCAGCUCACUAAACUAUCCACAUGCUGUAGUCAAUAAUAUAAUAAUUAAUUGUAUAUACAACACCUCAUCAUUUAUCUAUAUAUAUUCAUGUUCAGUUUUCUAUUCCUACUCAUUAGUGAUCUCAUCAGAAUCUGGAGAAAGAGUUAACUAUACAUCCAGGUUAGUGCUAAUACUACAUUAUCUUGAAAUCUACAUAUAUAUAUAUAUAUAUAUAUAUAUAUAUAUAUAUAUAUAUAUAUAAAAAAUCGAAUUUAUUUAUGUAACAAAAAAAACAUAUAGUUGUGUUUUCUUGAGAAGAAAACCAACUCAUUUUGAUAUUUUAUAUUUUGUGCAAGAAGUGUAAGGAGUAGUGAAAAAGUUGUGCAAUAUCUAAAAUACAAAAACUGAAUGGCCUCACCUCAAAACUUUGUAUCCAAGCUAACAGCACUGGUUGUGGAUGACAAUAUAAUUAACCGAAAGAUUCAUCAAAAGAUGUUGAAUAAAUUUGGAGUCAAAAGUCAAGGUGUGGAGAAUGGAAAAGAAGCAGUGGACAUUCAUUGGCGUGGACAAAAAUUUGACCUAAUUCUCAUGGACAUGGAUAUGCCUAUCAUGAAUGGCAUUGAGGUAUACGUGUACUUAAUUAGUUAUAUAUUACGCCCCAGGUUUAUAUAUUUUUAUAUGAUUAUGGUCUAUAUAAUAGGCUAGAAUUUGAAAUCAAUAUUUUCUAUAUUUGGUGUACUAUUAUUGUUCAAGGAAGAAAAUGAAAAUACUUAUGGCCCAACAUUAGUGAAGGUACUUUUGUCACAAAAGAUAAGAAAUAAAUAAUUAUUUAUAGGCUCUCUCAAAAAUAAAAUUAUUUAUAGGCAAAUAUUAAUAUUCAUAUAGUUUGUUAGAGGAAGGAGAAAUUAUUAGCAACAGAUAUCGAACGUUGGACCUCAUUCAUAAAUUUCUUUAGUGUUUAGGGUUGAUCCUGCAAGUAAAGACGCCGCUUUGGGCGUUAAAUUUUUUCAAGCCUCAAAAGUAAUAUAUUUUUCUCUUAAUAGUAUUAAUUUUAGGCUUCAUAUUAUAAAGUUCACUCAUUUAAUUUUGUUACUAGGUCAAUUUAGUAAAAAGUUAAUUAAUUACAUAUAUAAUUUAAUUUUUAUUUAAAUAUUGUAAAAAAUAAUUAGUCUUAAAACCCCUCCAAUUUUAUAGUUAAUUUUAAUGGGUUUUAUUGGAAAGUUUACUUUAAGUCUCUCUAGAUGUUUAGGCAGAGUGUCUUAAUCCAUAGAACUAAGCUACAUCUUCAAGGGAGGGGGAAAUAUGUUCCCUUAUUGGUUAGAUCACUUGUACUAAUUCCUUCUUUCUCAAUAAAACUAUCUUUGCUAUUAAAAAAAAACUCUUGUGUUUUAUACUUUUUUCUUCUUCUAUAAAUAUAAGGGAGUUUCUACGGUACAUCCUUAAAUUAAGGUGUACCGGUACACCUAUUUCAUAAUUCAAUAAGUUAACAAUCAUUUUUAUGUAAUAAAGAGAUGUCUAUCGACUUUUAUAUUUUAAAAAAUAUCAUUUCAUAAGAAAAAAAACAUCAUUUCAUCAUUUAUAAGAAUCAUACUAAUUUUUUUAACAUUUUAUCCAAAAAAAUAAUCAAUAUUCAAUAAUAUGAGUAUUAAAAAUUAAAAAAAUUUGAAUUUUGAUUUGCCGACACUUUUGAAAAAUAAAAUAUAAUUAUUAUAAUUGUAACUAAUAGAAAAUAUAUUUUUUCUAAGAAAAAAAUAUUCAUUAAACUAUUUAUUUAAUAUAUGGGUGUACCGGUAUACUCAAUUUUUUUGAAUGUACAGUAGAAAUUGCCUAAAGGUAAUCUGUACUUUAUCGAUGAUCUUAUUUUCCUUUUUUAUUUUUUGUGUGUCUAUGUGUUUAUAUAGGCAACAAAGGAACUUCGUGCAAUGGGUAUUUGUAGCACAAUUGUUGGUGUGUCAUCACGCUCUAUGGAAGAUGAAAUACUAAAAUUCAUGGAAGCUGGAUUGGAUGAAUAUCAAGAGAAACCCUUGAACAAUGCAAUACUUAGUUCCAUUCUUGGCAAGAUCACUCCAACUGUGUGAUGGAUGCAAGGAAUUGAAUAACAUGCAGUAUUUAUAUUUGUUUCCAAAUUUGGUUUUUUUUUUUUUUUUUUUUAUGGUGUUUGAGGUUUGAACCCCGAACAUUGCAUAUAUUAUGCAUUGUCCUUAUCAACUGAGCUAAGCUCACGAUGACAUAUUUUUCAUUUGCACCUCUGUAGUUCUACCUUUUUAUUAUAUUUUAAAAUAAAUAAAUAGUUCUACUCUUACUAUGGUCAAAUUAUAAUUCUAGUACAGCUUUAUGAGAUCUUAAAUAUUUUUGCACAUUACGUGUUAUCAUUUUCCAGAAUUCCCACCCAAGACUUUUGAACAAGUUUUUUGGAGGGGCCAAGAGUGAGUGAGAGAUCUUAAACAAUUUUUUUGAAGGGGAAGGGACAAGGGUCUGAUCUAAAGUUUGAUAAUGAUUUUUUACUUUAACAGAAAAGCUUUAAGUCAGAUCUUUUUGCUGACGAGAGAUACCUAUUUAAGCAUUUUGAUUUUUCUAUUUUGUCAAAACUGCAAUUUUGGCUCUCAUUUUAGAAACCUUUACUAUAACUUAUGAUUUUGAUGUCAAAUUUGAUGAUGUGGCAAUAUAUUUAGUGACAUGACAUGAACACAAAUGAUUUAAAUGUUGAAAGUUUUUAAAAUUAGGGUGUUAAAUUGAGUUGUGACCAUAUAUAUAAGAAAAAGAAGAACAGUUGAAAUGAUACAAAAAUAUCAUGAAUAAUUUAUUAUCAUGUCAUCGAAUUGAAAGAUCAAAAUUAUAGAUUGGUCAUUUUUUUAAGAGACUAAAAUUACACAAUUAAAAAAUGUCAAGAACCAAAAUUGCAGUUUUUUAACAAAAUAAAGAGGGAAAAAAACGCAGUUAACUAAUAAUAAUAAUAAUAUUAAUAUGCAAUUUAAUUUUUAGAAAAUUAAAGCAAAGGUUUCGAUGCGAUGGCAUAGAGGUUGGGUGCCCUCUGCAACAUGUUACACAGAAUAAGGUAAAACACUUAUUCAAUCCAUCAAUCUUGAAAUCUUAGAGGAACUAAUGAUUAAACAAUGACUUCUUCUUCUUUUUAAAUGAUAUCGAAUCAAAUCAAAUAUAUGGUGAUUGGUAUAAAAUUUUGUUGGUUGCUAAGAUGUUGGUGACAAAAUUUAUAUGUACUCGUAUCAUUUGUCAAAACCAUCGAAGAAUAAUUUUUGAGAAAUGCUAACUUGUGUCCUUGAAACAUAAGCCAAAUAUUAAUUGUAGAAGUUUUUUUUUGAAAAUUAUGCAUUUAUAUCUUAAAAAUUUCAAAAGUUAUAUUUUUAAUAUAAAAUUUAUUUUUAAUUUCUAUUUUAAGCUCCUUAACUUGUGCCCUUAAAAGACACAAAUUAGUAUCACCCAUAAUUUUUUUCGGGCUUGAAAGAAUAAUUUGACAAAACCAUCUACAUUAUUUACCAUUGUAUUGUUUGCCACAAAAAAUCACUUUUCAAACAAACAAACUUGUUUUGUCUUGCGUAUCCAAAGAUUAAAUGCCACUCAUUUUCAAAAUUUGCUUCACAACGGGGACAAUUAUCCUGACAUGGAACCCUUUGUUUUGCAACCGAUCCCAUUCCCAGGUAGGAAGACAUGAUUAUCGAUGAGGAAAUUCAUCGGAUACCGGUAGGCGGACUUCACCGUGAGUAUAUGCCUUUAUUAUUGAACUUCUGCAAAAGCAAGCGUAGACGUUUCUUUCAGAAACCUUCUCUUUAUUAUGAACAAAAAUUGCUCCAUGUGCUCAUUGAUUCAUCCAACAUCGAUAGUUCUAAAAAGUCCUCUGUUAAACAGAUAUAAAGGAUGAAGGGUAAAAAAAAAAAAUCAAUCAAUCAAUUUAAUUCAUGUUAAAAUUCAUCAUACUAGCGCUUUGUUAGAUAAUAUAAGGGAUUUUAAGCGUUCUUCAAAAGCACCAUGAUUAAAUAUGUUUUUGAAAUGGAUUAAACACGUGCCUAUUCUCUUCUAAAACAUUCGCGUGGAAUUUGUUAUCAAUGAGAAUACAAAAGAGACAAACAAACAAAACUAAUCUCUCAAGAAGAGUUGAAGAAAGGUGUGAGUAGUAAGACCGGACUGAAGAAGAAUGACAACAACCUUGCAUAGAAGAAGCAUUAUUAUUCACGGACAGUUUGAAUGAAACUAAGAUUCAAAUCAUAAAAUAAGUACCUCUUCAUAUGGGAAACCAAUGACCCAUAUGUUCAUCCACCAAGAAAAACUUUCGCUUGGAAUGAUUCUUGAGAAUAUAAAAUGGAAAGAUUUAAAUAAAAGUAUGUAUAUGUUGCUGAGAGUGGCGUGACGUGACUUGAAGCCGGAGACCAUUUCCUUUUCUUGCUCUCGUGCCGGAUGUCAUCUCGACAUAUCAGUCGUUUAAAAAUAGAAACAAUUGAUAUAUUUUAUAUAUAUAAAAAAAAAGUUUAAUCUAUUGUAUUAAUCUUUUAAGACAUUUGUUAAUAUUUCAGUUAAAAUAAUUUACUUAUAAAUAUAUUGUCCGUCUGUCUUAUCAACACCGAAAAGAUGCCUGAAAGUUCAUUCAGGAUGGGAAUCAACUAAUUUUUUGCUUGGAAUAGUUUUUUUUUUUUUUAAUACAACUAAAGAUUUUGUCAUUUUGAUGUUUUAAAGGAAAAAAAAUAAAAAAUAAUAACUCCUAAAAAAAGUAAAAAUAAAAAAUUCCGAAUCCAAUACUGAUGUCUUUUAAGUCUCUUCACUCGUUUCUUGUGCUUUAUUAACCUUCUUCAUGGGUUUUUGAAGCACGUGAGAGAAGUACAUAUUGCUCUUGUUGCCAGCCACUUAUACAUCUUUUCCCCUAUUGGUUGUUUGAUGAAGAGUUAUCUAUCCAGGUCAUGGUAACACUAUUACUUCAAAAUGUGUAAUCUCUCAACAUUUAAUAAAUUGAGAGAGAAUCCAUUUUAUGGAUUUGCAUUUCAUGCAAGCUUACGAAGUUCAUGUACAUACAUCUAAUUUGAAUUAAUCAAAUAAUUGUAUUUAAGUGGUUCGUAAAAUUUAGUUAAAAAGUCAAUAGUUCGAAAUAAUCGGAACUCAUUCAAUUUUUGUCCAUACAUAACUUAACACCAAGUUUAACCUCAUUAUCAAGAUUCCUUCCUUUAGAAAAUGGAGGAUUAAGAACGACUGAAAUUGUUUAGUAAAAAAUUAAGCUAGCAAAUUUAAAAUAGAAAUCGAAAUUCUUGUUUGCAACUGCAUAGAUUUCCCAACCAAAUUAAUUUAGUGAGAGUUCUUUAAAAAGAAAGAGUGGUUGUUUUUAUAGAUUCUCAUUCAUUAGAGAUAAUCAUAUUCGAAAUAUAUCAGUUAUUAAAUGCAUAUUUUUCUCUAUCAAAAUUCAAACAUUGAUUUAUUUAUUUUAAGAAAAAUUCAAACAUUGAUUUGUUGAUGUAGUCUUUCUAAAUUGUACUAAAUCUAGUAAGAAAUAAUUUCAUGAUAGACUUUAUUUAUUUUACUCUAUUAUUUUUACUAUUUUUAUUUUUUAGUAAAACUUCCUCCAUCCUUUUUUUUUUUUGUUGUAAAAACCAACAAUUUAUUAAUAGAAAAAGAAAGAAAGAAAGGAAAAGGAAAAAAAAAGCAUAUAAUCAAGUGGAUGGACCAAACCAAAACCCCACUUAAAUAGGAAAAGGAAAACAAAAUACAAAUACAAAAUACAAAAAUUACCAAGUGGAGGAGGGACCAAACUAAAAAUCAAAGAAAAUCAAAAAUUGAGAAUUCAUUGCGAAAUAUCCUUCCCAGUAGAUAUGAGCAUGAAUGUUAUCCAAUGCAUUGCUCACUGCAAAUGAAAUCAAGAUAAAAAAAUCAAAGUAAUGCUUCGAGAGAUUAGGAACGUUAUUAGGUCUAACAUUGAUGGUGGAAAAGGUACUUUUGCAUAUUAAGGCUAUGCAAGUACCAAUUAGGAAUCUGAACUGUUUUUUUUUUUGUUGGAUUGUAUAAUCCAAUCGGAGGUAAUAAUGGAAAUUCAGAGGGCGCGUGAGAAACACGGAGGUGGGAAAAGAAAUUCUUUAAGAAGAAAAAGAAAGAGGAGAAGGAGGAGAAAGGUCCGAGAGAAAAUGUAACCAAAAUCAUUAAUAUUUAUAAUUACCAUUUGGUUUAUAUGAUUUGUAGAGUUUGAACCUUAUUUUUGAGGUUUUGGAGAAAUAUUAUUAUGGAUGAUGUUGGUGUUUUUUAUUUUAUACGAUUUGUAUUGUAUAAUUUUUAGGUUAAUUGAAAAAAGAAGAAAAAAAAUAAAAGGUUGAGAUGAAAUAUAAUCAAAAAAACUAUUUUGAACACAACGAGUGUUUAGGCUUUUAAUCUUUGUCGUUGCAACUUGACGAUAAAUACUAUUAGAACCAAAGAGGUUUGGAAUUUUUACUUUUAAUAAAUAUUGUUGUCUGGUUGGCAUAUCUGAUUCCUUUUCUUCGGUGGUCGUCUCGUUCUCCUCAAGUCUAUCAUAAUUGCUCUGCAUGUCUAUGCUCUUUCCUUCUUCAAAGCUCCAUCAUGUAUAAUCUCUUCCAUAAAAUAUUUAUUGAAUAAUUUUUUUUGGAAGGGGUGUGAGGGACAUAGGAAAAUUUCUUGGAUAGGAUGGUCUUCUGUUUGUUUGAGAAAGGAGUAUGGAGGGUUGGGGGUUAGGAGGUUGAGGGAGCUUAAUAUUGCUCUGUUAGGUAAAUGGUGUUGGCGUUUGUUAGUGGAGGGUGAUGAUUUGUGGUGUAGGGUGUUGGUGGCUAGGUAUGGUGUGGAGGAUGGGCGGUUGGAGGAUGGGGGCCGGAGUUGUUCUUGUUGGUGGUGGGAGAUAGUGAGAAUUCGGGAUGGGGUUGAAGGUAGGGAGUGAUGGGUGGUUUGUGUCGUGUGUGUCUUUUUGGUAUGAUGUCCAGUGUGGCGGUGUUUCUUUUCGUGAUCGCUUUCAGCGUCUAUAUGAUUUGGAUGAUAACAAAGCGAUCACAAUUAGGAAUAUGUGUCUGUCUGGGUGGGAGGAAGGGGUUAGGCGUGGAGGUGGCGUCGUCGUUUGUGGGUGUGAGACGACAAACCGUCACAGGAGUGUACGGCAUCAUCACUUACAGUUUCUCUCGCUGGAUACCAUUUCUGAUGUUUGGUACUGGUACUUGGACCUAAUAGGGGGUUAUUCCGUUCGUGGUGUCUAUGACAUGCUGACAUAUCAGGAGCAUGCUCAAGUUCCUCCAAGCAUGGAUUUUAUUUGGCAUAAGCAGGUUCCCCUAAAGGUCUCUGUUUUUUCAUGGAGGAUGCUAGACUUCCAACAAAAUCAAAACUGGCAACUCGUGGUGUCAUCUCUACAGAGGCUCGGUUGUGUGUGGUUGGGUGCGGGCGUGUGGCCAUGUUGAAGAAGCCCAUCAUUUGUUUUUAUUGUGCCCAACAUUCUCCUCUCUUUGGUCGUUGGUGCGCGCUUGGAUUGGUUUUGAUGGUGUCGACACACAGGUUAUUCAUAAUCCAUUUCUGUCAAUUUAUUUAUGGCACGCCUAGUGUGCAAAUGUACAUCUUUUAUGAAGAAUUCAAAAUAUUAGGAAGAUGUUAGAUAUGUGACAUCAAGUUUGGCAAAAAGGAAAAUAAGCGUUAGUUUUGCCUCUAGUGAAACACAUCUUCCAUUUGAUAAAGAAUAUGCUAACUUGUCUCUCCUAACAUGAAUAUGCUAACUUGUCUUUUCUAACAUGCAAAUGUCUGCCUCCGGUAAAAAAUAUGAAAGUGAUCAUUUGCUCCUUUUAAAGAAUCAUCCUCUUGUCAUUCGUAAAUGGCUACCAUUUGAUUGAAACAAAGAAUUCAUACAAAAAAAAAGGACCAACAUGUGAAGAACUUGUGAGUUUGAUAAGCAUCCUAUGCUUGUGUAGUUGAUGAAUCAUAUGCUUAAUUGACAACACAUUAUCAUUUGACUAAGAAGAGUUAUGAUGAAUCCUUGACCUCUUUUAAAAUUGUGCGAGGAAUUAACUUAUGGAUUAGAGUAAAAUGGGUAAAAUCAAAUCAUAUUCUACUUACUUAAAGAUAUAGAGCUUUUAAAUCCCAAAAUGGACAAUGUAAAAAAUUGCACAGUCAUGUUUUACAAAUAUGUGGAAAAUACAACUACUUGUAAGGGAAGAUGAGAAACACCGAGUCCAACAGUAUAAUGCAUUAAGAAAAUAUUUUCAAAUCAAGACACAUUUAUCUUAAUUGUUGCAUUUCUCGAGUGAAGACAAGUUCCUUAACAGGGGCAACAAGAGACUCGACAUAAUACCUACAACUUCUCUCAAUUCUACCAUGUCCCCAUGAAUAGGACUCCGCCCGUAACACGAUCGACAUAUCCAAGACGUAUUCCUACAGGUAAAGGGAGUUCGAAUAAAUAUGUGUUUGAAAAGUUAUGAAUCGAUUGAUAAGUCCAAUUCCAAUACCUUGAUUUCUAACGACAAUGCACCGUGAACUGAUAUAUAUCGUCUGCUACUAUACGGCCAAUUAAUGUUUGUAUCAAAAAAAUUUAUGGUAUAACUAUCAAUUGAUAACGAACUAGUAUAAAUCGACGUGUACACCCUUCUAUUCAACUUGCUUUUGCAUUACAUUUCUUUUUGCUUCUAUUUAAAGUGAUUUUGCUUUUCAGCAACUAAAUUUUUAUCUGAGUAUUUUAAAAGAUUCUUCUUUAUAAUAUAUGUAUUUAUGCUUAAUCUUUAAUAAAGAAUUCCCUUAAAGAUGGCAAUUCUAUCUCCAGCCCAAAUAAUGCAGGCCUUCCACAGGUUCAACGAGGUUCGAUGGUAGCGGGUCCGUGGUAGUAUGCACCAAGAUACAUGUCAAGUUCUUUAAGGUUUAUCAUCCGUUGCUAAUCCCACAUGCGGAGGUGGUUCGGUCUCACCCCCUAAGCCAACUAAUGAGGAGGUUAUUGUUGAAGAGGAUCAUGCUAGAGAUCAUCCUAACACACUAGGUAUCAUACAAACCCUCCACGACAUGACGAAAGAGGGGUUGCGUUAUGAUAACUCAGUUGGCAAACAAAGUGAAAUCAAAUUUCUUCCUAUGCACCAAACAAUGCAUAUUUCUCUUCUUUUCUCAAAUAAACUACAAUUCAACAUGUGAAACCGAUCAAACCACCGAUUUUACGGGCCUUUAUCUAUAAUCGUGUUAUGUUGCUAGACGAUUUUGAGUGUUGUUGUUUUUACAUUCAUUGUUUCUUAGAAACGCGUGAAAAUGAUAAAAAAAAAAAAAAAAAUCUAAUUACUCCGCUUGAAUGUUGGACAUGGAAUGUUGGUCAUUUUCAUGUGUUUCUAGAAAAUAAUGGAGGUGAGAAAAACAAUUCUGGACAAUUUGAAGUGGACCCAGGUCCAGCUCCCGAUCCAACUACUCGAAUCGAUCGGUUCCAUUUUAAUUACCUUGGUAUAAAGUGUGCAACAAAAUUAAUCUAGUAAAAAAGGAGAAAUGAAAGCAAAGCGUCAAAAAAGUAUUUUGUCGUUUAGCUUGACAUUAUUCGUAGAGAAACAUCUUCUUAUCUCUCUGGGUUUAUGUGGCCUCGCUUGUGCUCUGCUCUGUUCAGUCUUGUCAUAGUGACUUCUCUCUUAUUUCCAACAACCACACGUUCUAUUCUGCAACAUUACAAUAUUCAACUAUCUAUAACUAUAACUAACUUCACCGACUUUGCUUUCCUACUAAUAUGUCAUGAAUUUUGAUUUUCAAAUUUAAUUGUUUUUCGUGACAUGAACAACUACUGCGUUUCAUAUUUCCAAUCUCAAAUGGAUCAACAACGAUUGCCUCGUCCUAAGAAACCAAUCAUGUAACUUUUCUACUUCAUUUUUAUAUUUUUUUAUAUUUUUUUUUAACUAACGAGUGAUAAAAAAAAUGGAACAGUGCAGAUGAUGAGAUCAUGGAGUUGUUAUGGCAAAACGGCCAAGUUGUUACACAGAGGCCAAACCACCGUCAUGCCAAGAAACCACCGUCAUGUCAAGAAACAACUCGCGGCGGAGGAGCUUCUCCAGUAGAAAACUACAAUCAAUAUCUCUUCAUGCAAGAAAACGAAAUGGCUUCAUGGCUUCAUUACGAUGAUUCUCCCUUCGAUCGAACCUUCUCCACUGAUUACCUCAAUACGCCGCCGGCGACGGCUAAUAACAACAGUAGCAUACAAACUCCGACGUCGGUGGUUCCUUCUCGUCCUCCAAUUCCCCCGCCACGGAGGAUGGGGCACGUACAGCCUGAGACACCGAAUUUCGCAAAACACGGUGUAAUGAACACUGCUGUGAGGGAAUCAACGGUUGUGGAUUCGUGUGAUACACCAGCUGUGAUGCCGGCGGCGUUUUCGGAGACGGUGAAAAGCUUGGCGGAUCAAACGGAAGGAGACACCGAAGUAGCGGUGGUUUCGACAACUUUUGAUGAACCGGGAGGUUCAAGUAGCAGUGAAGAACCUGAACCGGUUGGGAAGGUAGCGGAGCAGGACCGAAAGAGGAAGGGAAUAGAAGCGGAGGAAUGGGAAUAUCAGAGCGAGGUGAGUGAGUGAGUUAACUAAGCGCUGUUACUUUUUUAUUUACUGUUGCUGUGUGUGUGUGUGUGUGAUUGUGCUUUAUGGACAUACCUGUCGUGGCUGGACAUGGCUUCGCCGCGUGUAUCGUUUUAAAUUCGAUACUUUUUAAAGAAACUUUUGUCUAGGAGUAGAAUAUAUUUUUUAGAUAUGGUGGUCCACAUCAAUGAUAGUAAAAUUAAAAUCUAGUAGCGUAUGUUUGGUUGCAUGGCAAGAAGAGUUGUUUUGAGUGAAUUGAUUCUAUAUAACCGAUUUUGAUUAAAAAUGAGUAGAAUAUAAAGUGAUUUGUAUUUACAUAUUCUACAAAGCAACCAAACAUAUUAGAAUCAAUUUUGACCCCUUAAAAAGUAGAACCAAACAUACAUUUUAACCUUUUGUUAGUUGCGACUUUACCACUUGGGCAUAUGAGGGUGAUGUUUGAGCAGGAAUCAAAGUUCAAUUAAUUACAGAAGGGUUUUACGAUUGAAGAAGUUGGAUAUGAUGAGGAAUAUUGGGUGGCUGUGUGAUCAAUGUGAAAGCUGCUUAAGCAUGGUUCUUAGAAUAGACAAAGUAAUUAAGCUGUCAUGAAUGUGAGCCACCUAGCUGGUCUAAAGUUCUUUGAAUGCAUUGCAUGCAUAUUCUAUUAAAUGGAGAAGUUCUGCAAAUAUGAAAUAGUAUUUAGAAAAAUGCAUUCUUGUACAUGGUUAGUCGUGGAUGUAUAGUAUGAAGAUUAUCAAAUUGUGCUUAGUUGUGGAGUUUGAGUAGGCAGGGAUUUAGGUUGGAAUCCUUGGCAAUUGGCAUAAGCAGUGAUUUGUUCCUGUACAACUUAAAAACUUUAGAAGCUUUGCAUGUCAUCUAGGUAGCAUAUUAUGGGAGUUUAACCCUGAUCGUAGUUCUUCAUAAAAAAUUCCAGAGUUCUUUUUCACUUCAAAGAUAACAUCGCCUUUCACGCACAAUAUCUAAUAUACUUGGUUGUUUUCUUAAUCCUUAUUUCUCCUAUUUAUACGUGAUAACCCCUCUACUUAAUCAGCUACACUAACUAUAACUAAUCCUUACUAAUCUAACACCCAUUUAUUCUUUAUUCUUGUACUGUCU
rnacentral:lncRNA from 1 species